rnacentral:rRNA from 1 species
AAUUUUGGACAAUGGGGGAAACCCUGAUCCAGCCAUCCCGCGUGUAUGAUGAAGGCCUUCGGGGUGUAAAGUACUUUUGGACGAGCAGAAAAGGCAGCCCCUAAUACGGGUGACUGCUGACGGUCUCUGACGAAUAAGCACCGGCUACCUAAGUGCCAGCGGCCUCGGUAAUACGUAGGGUGCAAGCGUUAAUCGGAAUUACAGGGCGUAAAGCGUGUGUAGGCGGUUCGGAAAGAAAGAUGUGAACUCCCAGGGCUCAACCUUUGAACUGCAUUUUUAACUGCCGAGCUAGAGUAUGUCAGAGGGGGGUAGAAUUCCACGUGUAGCAGUGAAAUGCGUAGAUAUGUGGAGGAAUACCGAUGGCGAAGGCAGCCCCCUGGGAUAAUACUGACGCUCAGACACGAAAGCGUGGGGAGCAAACAGG